AUUGAACGCUGGCGGCAGGCCUAACACAUGCAAGUCGAACGAGUGGCGGACGGGUGAGUAAUGUCUGGGAAACUGCCUGAAGGAGGGGGAUAACUACUGGAAACGGUAGCUAAUACCGCAUACCAUCGGAUGUGCACAGAUGGGAUUCGCUAGUAAGUGGGGUAACGGCUCACCUAGGCGACGAUGCCUAGCUGGUCUGGGAGGAUGACCAGCCACACUGGAACUGAGACACGGUCCAGACUCCUACGGGAGGCAGGAGUUGGGAAUAUUGCGCAAUGGGCGCAAGCCUGAUGCAGCCAUGCCGCGUGUAUGAAGAAGGCCUUCGGGUUGUAAAGUACUUUCAGCGGGGAGGCGUUACCCGCAGAAGAAGCACCGGCUAACUCCGUGCCAGCAGCCGCGGUAAUAC
rnacentral:rRNA from 1 species